rnacentral:rRNA from 1 species
AGAGUUUGAUCCUGGCUCAGAGCGAACGCUGGCGGCAGGCCUAACACAUGCAAGUCGAACGGACCCUUCGGGGUUAGUGGCGGACGGGUGAGUAACACGUGGGAACGUGCCUUUAGGUUCGGAAUAGCUCCUGGAAACGGGUGGUAAUGCCGAAUGUGCCCUUCGGGGGAAAGAUUUAUCGCCUUUAGAGCGGCCCGCGUCUGAUUAGCUAGUUGGUGAGGUAAUGGCUCACCAAGGCGACGAUCAGUAGCUGGUCUGAGAGGAUGACCAGCCACAUUGGGACUGAGACACGGCCCAAACUCCUACGGGAGGCAGCAGUGGGGAAUCUUGCGCAAUGGGCGAAAGCCUGACGCAGCCAUGCCGCGUGAAUGAUGAAGGUCUUAGGAUUGUAAAAUUCUUUCACCGGGGACGAUAAUGACGGUACCCGGAGAAGAAGCCCCGGCUAACUUCGUGCCAGCAGCCGCGGUAAUACGAAGGGGGCUAGCGUUGCUCGGAAUUACUGGGCGUAAAGGGCGCGUAGGCGGACAUUUAAGUCAGGGGGUGAAAUCCCCAGAGCUCAACUUUGGAACUGCCUUUGAUACUGGGUGUCUUGAGUGUGAGAGAGGUAUGUGGAACUCCGAGUGUAGAGGUGAAAUUCGUAGAUAUUCGGAAGAACACCAGUGGCGAAGGCGACAUACUGGCUCAUUACUGACGCUGAGGCGCGAAAGCGUGGGGAGCAAACAGGAUUAGAUACCCUGGUAGUCCACGCCGUAAACGAUGAUUGCUAGUUGUCGGGCUGCAUGCAGUUCGGUGACGCAGCU